GCUUCUUUAUAUUGUUGUUUCUAACACCUAAAAAACAACAAUUACAAUGUGAGAAGUUCUUUAAAAAGACAAGAAACUUUUGCAUAGAUAUGCUAUGCUGGGUCGUCCUUAAGGCACAACUAUGGGAUUAAUAAAUUGUUUAAUCAGCACAUUUUGUAUGGAAACAUCGUAUCCCACCAGGCGUAUAGGUCACUAUAGUUUUUACAGAAGGCAGCUUUUAAUGCUAAGAAUGCAAAUUAUUUUCUGAAUAAAAUAACGGAAUGAGAAACAAUAGAUGUGUCGUUUCAGAGGUUUUUUAUGUGAAUAUGUUUGCUUUUCUUUUUACCCCUCCAGAGGGUCUUUUGUGGGCUCUAGUGUCCCUUAUAUCAAAGUAGGCUGACAGGAAAGGGGGGGAAACAUGCGGCAAAUAUCGUCGGGUCCAGGAGUCGAACCCACAACAGCCGUGCCGAGGACUCAAGGCCACACAUGGGUCGCGCUUUCCCCUACGCCAACACGGCACGCCCUGAAUAUUUUUUCUAAUAACCGUCAUCUCCUAAAUCCUUUUGUUAAAGGGCAGUAUUUUUAGUUGAUUAUCCAUUUAACAUUGAUUAUACUUUUUCAUAAUGAUUAACUAACAAAAUUACAUAGGCUGUAAUUUGUGUUAAUUGGUCAUACUUUUUAUUAAAUUCUACCAUCAUGUUUGAUGCUCUCAGGAAAAUGGGAUGUUGUGUUUUCUCUAUGGUUCUACUCUUCCAGCAGGUUGCCACAAAAGGGUUCCACGGUGUGCCAGUUGAGAGGCUGAGGGCUGAUUUCCUGCAGGUCCUCUCCAUCAUUGUUGUUCAACCCGUGCCCCCUCCAACAGCUCUGCAGCAACCACCAUCAGACCCUCGGCCUCUGCCUACCAUUUUGCAGUUUCUACCUCAAGACCAACACCCCCUUCAGGACUUCCACUAAUUUAUUAUUUCGUCCAGAAGCUUUGUUCCCCACGUUGCCUACCUACCCUGGAUCACCACCUUUGCACAUGUAACCCCCAUAUACGUGUGUAAUAUUAUUGUUAGUAGUAUUUUAUAUUUUGUUUCUUUUGGAUUUUGUCUUGUAAUGUAAUGCACCAGCAAAUAGGUUUCUAUUUUAAUUUUGGGUUUUCUUUUGCUACCAGAAACCGCCAGUAGGUUGCUUGUGAGUUUACACUCUGGUUUGGACAGCAGAGAAAAAUAGGAGUAGAAGAAGGAACUGUAGCUGGCUGCAGCACGUUGUGCUGAGCUAUUGCACGCUGAGAGAAAAGAAAGCAAGUUAUAUGAUAAAGUCUGAUGAAUUCUGGUAACGGUUGACAGAAGAGAAGUGACCUUAUCCUGGCAGUUAAAUCCAUUUCUGUUGUGAUUUUCUCUGAUUGGUUAUUUUUUAGAACCACAAUCAACUUGGAACAUCGUCCCGCUGCAUACCACCGCACGCCUGGAUCAGAUGUGCUGGGCUCCAGGUUUCAACCCAAGAUCUGGGACUACUGGAUCCGCUGCCUGCUUUGCACUGGAUUAAGAUAAGAUUUCGGAUCCAAAGAAACACAUGGCUAUGGAAUUUGACAGAUUCCAUAGCCUUGGAUUUCAAAUACCGAACUAAAGAAAGGAACUGAACAAUAAGAAAUCUGGACUGAAAGAAAAGACACUACCUGAUAUAAUAAGGGUGGACACUUUCUGUUGAAAAAAAUGUUACAAUAAUAUUCUGUUUAAUUUUGUAUUAAACAGGCUGUUCAUUUUCCUUGACAAUAUGGUUGUUUGUGCUUAUUAUCCUCCUUUUUGAACUUAGCAAGAAGACUAAUUGUAACUACAACACUUGAAAUCUAAAUUUCUCAACUUAUCUGUUUGUAAGUUACACAAAUUGGUUACACACAUUAUUCUACUUUGUAAAUAAACCCCAUUUUAUUGAUUUCUUCUCUGCAUGUGGGUUAGAAGUCUAAAUUCAUGUUGCUGCUGUGUUACAGAGUAUGACUGCAAGCCAGUCUUCUCAGUCACCACCAGAGGCUCCCUCAGCUGCUGCUCCACCUUCAGCACCCUAGUGUGAUGUCUUACCACCAGCACCAGACAAACUUGUUGGUGAUGUCAAUUGUGGGAGUUUCCUUCUCCAGUACUCUUUAAUUUUAUCCCAUUUAUCUCAGUCUAUUCCCACUGACAAUAGCAAGAUUGUUUACAGUCUUGGCUUUCUCUCUGGACGUGCUUUGAAAUGGGCAGAAGUCCACAUUCAAGACUACACAAGCUUUGGGAUUUGUUUGGAGGAUUUUGUUAAGGAAUGCAAAAUGACUUAGCUUAAACCUUGACCCUGAGUCCUUUUCUAGAGUGUUAUGGAAGAUCAGGCAAGGCCAACGGUCUGACUCAGAUUUUUCUAUUGACUUCUGCACCAUUGCAGCUGCUUCUGGCUGGGACUCGUGCACUAAAGAGUGUUUUUAUUAAUGCUUUAAAUGAGUCACUUAAGGAUGUAAUGGUUCUGCUAGAUGAACCAGAGACUGUAGAUAACUUGAUUACCCAAGUAACCCAUAUUGAUCUUGAUCUAAUUUUUCAUCCACUUUCAAUCUGUCUCUUCAUCCUCCUGAAUCUCUAAGUCUCAUUCACAAAAACCAGAACCAACGAAAGAAGGUCCAAUCCAUCUAUCUCCUGAGGAAUAGUAGCACAGGACGCAGUCCAACCAGUGUUUGUAUUGUGGAGGUUCUGAUCACUUCAUUGGCACUUGUCCCCUUUGGUUAAAAGCCAAAGUCCAUUAGUAACUAAGGGGAGUUUGAUGGACAAGCCCACAUACACCACAUCUUCUUUGCUUUUCCUUCCAGUUUUGUCAGUAAUACUCAUUCCAUAUCAGCGCUUUGGUUGAUUGACCCUCAUUGCCCAGUCCAUUAUUCAAUAGCAUGAAAUAGAGUCUAUUCCUAUGAGGAACCCUCUUGAGACUACAGACCUGAAUGGAAGACCCUUGCCACCCAUUCUCUCUGAUCAUCUCAGGUAGCUAUUGUGAAACUCACUUUCUUUGUUUUCGAAUCCAAACAUUCAUCCAUUAUACUAGAUUUUGACUCAUAUCUCAAUUGGUGAAAUUGCUGUCUUGAAUCCUAGCCCACUGUCUUUCUUCCUGCCUGCAAUCUCUCCUCCCUGCUACCCCGCCCCCAGGGAAUUCACCUGUUGAUGAAUCCCCAGAACUGAGCCAAGUUCCAGAGGAUUAUGGAUCUUAAACAAGUUGUCAACUAAAGCAAGGCUCUAUCACUGCCACUCCACAGAUCAUAUGACUGCUAUAAACUGUCUCCCUGGAGCACCUUUGCCUUCUAGCUGUCUUUUCAAUGUGUCUCACCUUGAAAGAGAAUCCAUAGAGAAGUAAAUAAAUGAAUCUCCUGCUACUGGCAUUAUUAGACAUUCAUCUUCUCCUUUGGGGGUGGAUUUCUUCUUGUUUAAGAAGGAUGGCUCACUCCAAUUCUGCAUCAAUUACCUUGGACUAAAGCAAAUCACCAUGAAUCAUUACCCUCUGCCACUUAUCUAUUCAGCUUUCAAACCCCUCAUGAUGCUAAGAUUUUCACCAUGCUUGACCUCUGCAAUGCCUACCACCUAGUCUGUAUCAGCCAGGGGGAUGAGUGGAAGACUACUUUCAAGACCCCUCUUGGCCACUUUGAAUACCUUGUCAUUCCAUUUAGACUGUAAUUGCCCAUGCCAUAUUUCAGGCCGUACGAUCACUUUGUGCCCACCUUCUGAGCCCCCUCCUCCCACCCAAGUCAUUAAUGGGCGUUAAGUGGAUGGUGGCCUCCUUUCUGUGAAGUUGGGGGUAUCAGUAUCUUGUUGACUGGGAAUGCUACAGUCCUGAGAACCGUUCACGGGUACUGCAGUAUUUCGUCUUGACUCCAUCUCUCAUAGCUGACUACAAAACCUCCCUUGCGUCCACUUCUUCUGGGAAACCAGGUGGCGGCCGUUGAGGGGAACGUGAUUUCAGGAAAGUGGGGAGUUGUGCAGCCACACCUGCAACACCUUUAGCCUCAUCCUUUCCUAGUGAUAAGAAGCUGGUUGCCUGUCACUAAUUUGCCUGAGUGUUAACCCAUGUGGUGACGUCAAGCCAACUUUGUGAACUUCUGAGUUGCUUUCUGUGUGAAGUAUCUGAGCCCAGUGUUACUCCUUGUUUCCCUCUCUUCAGGUCUCUGAGUACCACCUUGAAUCUAUCUGUGGAACCUCUCAAACAUCGUCAGACCAGAACCAGCCAUAGCCCUCAGCUUGGAUUUUCUGACUGGUAACUUUAAGCUCCUGCAUCAACAUUGUACCGCCUGUUCAUCCUCAAACAGUUCUGCAGCAGCCACCAUCCCUCAGCCUAUUUUGCAGUUUAUACCUCAAGAAGAACACCCCACUCACCCCUCCCUGGUCUGUAAGUUCCUUAUCCAACAUUUCCUCUUACCUUCAUCUGCUCCACUAAGUUAUUAUUGCUUCCAAUUUAUUAUUUCUUCCAGAGGUUCCCCACAUCGCCUACGUACCCUGGACCACCACCUUUGCAAAUAAACCCCAUUUUACUGAUUUC